rnacentral:rRNA from 1 species
GGCGAAAAGAACCCCGGGAGGGGAGUGAAAGAGAACCUGAAACCGCAUACAUACAAACAGUAGGAGCCCUACGGGGUGACUGCGUACCUUUUGCAUAAUGGGUCAGCGACUUACGUUUUGCGGCAAGCUUAACCGAGUAGGGGAGGCGCAGCGAAAGCGAGUUCGAACAGAGCGAUAGAGUCGUAAGGCGUAGACCCGAAACCAGAUGAGCUAACCAUGGCCAGGUUGAAGGUGUGGUAACACACACUGGAGGACCGAACCGACUAGUGUUGCAAAAUUAGCGGAUGAGCUGUGGAUAGGGGUGAAAGGCUAAACAAAUCUGGAGAUAGCUGGUUCUCCCCGAAAACUAUUGAGGUAGUGCCUCGUGUAUGGCUCCAGGGGGUAGAGCACUGUUAUGGCUAGGGGGACAUGGCGUCUUACCAAACCAUGGCAAACUCCGAAUACCCGGAAGUUGAAUCACGGGAGACAGAGCACCGGGUGCUAACGUCCGGACUCAAAAGGGAAACAACCCAGACCGCCGUUUAAGGUCCCAAAUACAGGCUAAGUGGAAAACGAAGUGUGAAGGCUAAGACAGUCAGGAAGUUGGCUUAGAAGCAGCCAUCCUUCAAAGAAAGCGUAAUAGCUCACUGAUCGAGUCCUCAUGCGCGGAAGAUGUAACGGGGCUAAGUCUGUAACCGAAAGCGCGGAUUUGCACGCAAGUGCAAGUGGUAGGGGAGCGUUCUGUAAGCCUGCGAAGGUGUGUGGUAACGCAUGCCGGAGGUAUCAGAAGUGCGAAUGCUGACAUGAGUAACGAUAAAGCGGGUGAAAAGCCCGCUCGCCGUAAGCCCAAGGUUUCCUGCUCUACGUUCAUCGGAGCAGGGUGAGUCGGCCCCUAAGGUCAGGCUGAGAAGCGUAGCUGAUGGGAAGCAGAUUAAGAUUUCUGCACCGACGUUAAGUGCGAAGGGGGGACGGAGUUUUGAGCAUCAUCCGGGUGUUGGAUGUCCCGGUUUGUGCGUGUAGGAGGCCGGCAGGCAAAUCCGCCGGCGAAUCUCCGAGACAAAGCAUCGAGCUGCAUUUUGCAGUGAAGUGAUGGGAUGAACUUCCAGGAAAAGCCUCUAAGCUAUAGCUUGACGUCGACCGUACCGUAAACCGACACAGGUGGGCGAGUUGAAUAUACUCAGGCGCUUGAGAGAACUCGGGAGAAGGAACUCGGCAAAUUGACACCGUAACUUCGGGAUAAGGUGUGCCUUUGUAGUGUGAAGAGUGAAACACUCCGAGCAUGAAGAGGUCACAGAGAAUAGGUGGCUGCAACUGUUUACUAAAAACACAGCACUCUGCAAAGACGAAAGUCGACGUAUAGGGUGUGAUGCCUGCCCGGUGCUGGAAGAUUAAUUGAUGGGGUGCAAGCUCCUGAUCGAAGUCCCAGUAAACGGCGGCCGUAACUAUAACGGGCCUAAGGUAGCGAAAUUCCUUGUCGGGUAAGUUCCGACCUGCACGAAUGGUGUAA